rnacentral:rRNA from 1 species
CCCUUAGAGUUUGAUCCUGGCUCAGAACGAACGCUGGCGGCGUGCCUAACACAUGCAAGUCGAGCGCGAAUAGGGGCAACCCUUAGUAGAGCGGCGCACGGGUGCGUAACACGUGGGUAAUCUUCCUUGAAGACCGGGACAACCUUCCGAAAGGAUGGCUAAUACCGGAUAAGCCUACGAGCUCUUCGGAGCUUGAAGGAAAAGGUGGCCUCUGCAUGCAAGCUAUCACUUCAAGAUGAGCCCGCGGCCCAUCAGCUAGUUGGCGGGGUAAUGGCCCACCAAGGCAACGACGGGUAGCUGGUCUGAGAGGACGAUCAGCCACACUGGAACUGAGACACGGUCCAGACUCCUACGGGAGGCAGCAGUGGGGAAUUUUGCACAAUGGGCGAAAGCCUGAUGCAGCAACGCCGCGUGUGUGAUGAAGGUCUUCGGAUUGUAAAGCACUUUCGACCGGGACGAAACCGUACUGGCUAACAUCCAGUGCCUUGACGGUACCGGGAGAAGAAGCACCGGCUAACUCUGUGCCAGCAGCCGCGGUAAUACAGAGGGUGCAAGCGUUGUUCGGAAUUAUUGGGCGUAAAGCGCGUGUAGGCGGCAUUGCAAGUCGGGUGUGAAAGCCCUCAGCUCAACUGAGGAAGUGCGCCCGAAACUGCAGUGCUUGAAUACCGGAGAGGAUGGCGGAAUUCCCCAAGUAGAGGUGAAAUUCGUAGAUAUGGGGAGGAACACCGGUGGCGAA